ACAGAUGCUAAUACCGGAUAACAACACUAGACACAUGUCUAGAGUUUGAAAGAUGGUUCUGCUAUCACUCUUGGAUGGACCUGCGGUGCAUUAGCUAGUUGGUAAGGUAACGGCUUACCAAGGCAAUGAUGCAUAGCCGAGUUGAGAGACUGAUCGGCCACAUUGGGACUGAGACACGGCCCAAACUCCUACGGGAGGCAGCAGUAGGGAAUCUUCCACAAUGGACGAAAGUCUGAUGGAGCAACGCCGCGUGAGUGAAGAAGGGUUUCGGCUCGUAAAGCUCUGUUGGUAGUGAAGAAAGAUAGAGGUAGUAACUGGCCUUUAUUUGACGGUAAUUACUUAGAAAGUCACGGCUAACUACGUGCCAGCAGCCGCGGUAAUACGUAGGUGGCAAGCGUUGUCCGGAUUUAUUGGGCGUAAAGCGAGUGCAGGCGGUUCAAUAAGUCUGAUGUGAAAGCCUUCGGCUCAACCGGAGAAUUGCAUCAGAAACUGUUGAACUUGAGUGCAGAAGAGGAGAGUGGAACUUCAUGUGUAGCGGUGGAAUGCGUAGAUAUAUGGAAGAACACCAGUGGCGAAGGCGGCUCUCUGGUCUGCAACUGACGCUGAGGCUCGAAAGCAUGGGUAGCGAACAGGAUUAGAUACCCUGGUAGUCCAUGCCGUAAACGAUGAGUGCUAGUGUUGGGAGGUUUCCGCCUCUCAGUGCUGCAGCUAACGCAUUAAGCACUCCGCCUGGGGAGUACGACCGCAAGGUUGAAACUCAAAGGAAUUGACGGGGGCCCGCACAAGCGGUGGAGCAUGUGGUUUAAUUCGAAGCAACGCGAAGAACCUUACCAGGUCUUGACAUCCAGUGCAAACCUAAGAGAUUAGGUGUUCCCUUCGGGGACGCUGAGACAGGUGGUGCAUGGCUGUCGUCAGCUCGUGUCGUGAGAUGUUGGGUUAAGUCCCGCAACGAGCGCAACCCUUGUCAUUAGUUGCCAUCAUUAAGUUGGGCACUCUAAUGAGACUGCCGGUGACAAACCGGAGGAAGGUGGGGAUGACGUCAAGUCAUCAUGCCCCUUAUGACCUGGGCUACACACGUGCUACAAUGGACGGUACAACGAGAAGCGAACCUGCGAAGGCAAGCGGAUCUCUUAAAGCCGUUCUCAGUUCGGACUGUAGGCUGCAACUCGCCUACACGAAGCUGGAAUCGCUAGUAAUCGCGGAUCAGCACGCCGCGGUGAAUACGUUCCCGGGCCUUGCACACACCGCCCGUCA
rnacentral:rRNA from 1 species